AGAGUUUGAUCCUGGCUCAGGAUGAACGCUAGCUACAGGCUUAACACAUGCAAGUCGAGGGGAAACGACAUCGAAAGCUUGCUUUUGAUGGGCGUCGACCGGCGCACGGGUGAGUAACGCGUAUCCAACCUGCCCAUCACUUGGGGAUAACCUUGCGAAAGUAAGACUAAUACCCAAUGACGUCUCUAGAAGACAUCUGAAAGAGAUUAAAGAUUUAUCGGUGAUGGAUGGGGAUGCGUCUGAUUAGCUUGUUGGCGGGUAACGGCCACAAGGCGACGAUCAGUAGGGGUUCUGAGAGGAAGGUCCCCCANAUUGGAACUGAGACACGAUCCAAACUCCUACGGGAGCA
rnacentral:rRNA from 1 species